rnacentral:pre_miRNA from 1 species
AGUAGAAUUACUGGAUUCUAUGGUUAAGCUUAUGUUUAAGUUUUUAAGAAAUUGCCAAACUGUUUUUCAAAGUGGCUGUACCACUUUACAUUACCACCACCAAU